AGAGAGAAAGCUAGAGAGAGAAUGUGGAAUUUUAGAGAGAGAAAGUUAAUGAAAAGGGAUUCAAGAUCAGGGAAUCAUGAUUAGAACUUGGAAUCAUUUAGAAAACAAUUAAGAAUCAUCCCAACAAUGUUGUUUUAGUUGAAAUUUGGAUCACGCGACGCUCAUUCUAGCCUAGACAUCUUAGCAUGAAGUAUUUUACAACAGACAUGUUGAUGAUCGGAAUAGAGGCUGGUCUCUCGUAAAGGCUCUCCGUGCUAACUGGCAUCCGGUAUGUAUGAACAAUUUUUCAAAGAGUAAAUCCAGUAGAUGAAAACCCCGGGUUUGGGGCAUUUCAGCAUGCCGACGUGGAUGCAAGAUGAGCCACUAUAGUGGCAACAUCAAUUUUAUUGGCUUGGAGCAACCAAUUGCAGUAAUGAUCAUAAACACCACCAAUACGUCAACCCCUACACAAUAUAUCACUUUUUACCAAGUCUCUCUUAUAGAACGGUGGGAAUAAGAAACAACAAUCACUACAGGCAUAGCAACAAUCUCCGUGUUAUAAUAAAGGAUCAUCAUGAGACUAAUGAAAAAGUACCCCACGGGUCCUCUAAUGUAUGUAGGUAAACCCAUAUUAAAUACAAACAGAUGAGGAUUGAAAGGGCCACCAAUGCUAAAGGGACAUGAACUACCAAAUACUUGCAUAUGGUCUCCGACUCGACAUACCACUCACGAUGGGUUCUGAGUGGAUGAGUUAUGGAUGUGGAUGCCAUAUGUGUUGCUGUAGAGGCGCUAUUAGUGGGAUGAGUUGAUGUGGUGGAUGUGGAUGUAGAUGUGACUGCACUAAUGAUAAAAAACAUCACGAACACACCAACCUCAACACCAUGUAUCAUUUGUGUCCAUGUCUCUAUGCUAGAAAGGUGGUGGGAAUAAGAGGCGACAAUCACUACCAACAUAGCAACGAUCCCCAUGUCAUACCAAAGGAUCGUCAUAAAACAGAAGCAAAAGUAAUCCCACGGGUCCUCUGACGCACGUAUGUAAACUCAUAUCAUAUACAAACUAAUGAGAACUAAAAUGGCCCCCAAUGCUAAAGAAACAUACAUCACAUCCGUUGGAAUAAUAACUCGAGGGUGCCUCUCAACCCUGUAAGUAAUCAGAUGUCCCACAUGAUACACAAUCAUCGUAAACACAACCCACAUGAACCAAAACAUUUUCUUGAACCUUCUAUGAAUCAUGUUACAAAAAAGGUGAACUAAAAAUAAUCAAUACUUGUUAAACAAAACAAUGUAAACAUAAAAAAAAUUGUUUUAGUGGGUUGACUUGUAUGUAAAGCAAUGAAUGUUGAUGGUGGGGAUAUAGCAAACUGAAUAAUCACCGUCCAUGUCUGUAACGCUUCGCAUUUUGGAACUUUCCUUAUUUAGAAAGUUUGUCUGUAUUUCUAUUUUUGGAAACUUGUAUCCUCAUUACAAUCGUAUUUCAUUUUCCAACUUUGUAAUCCGAGAAUUGAUCAUAAUGAAAUUUGUUAUUUAUACAUAUUUGUUAUACAUACAAUCAGUCGUUUAAAUACGUGUUUUGAUACUCUUUAUAUGUGCAAAUACUUAUACAUGCAUUCAUGACACUCAAAUUAUGGUUGCAUACAUGUUACAUACUUGAAAAUGUGCUAAAAAUGGAAGUUAUGGCUUAAAAUAAUAAGAAAAUCAAAGUUGAGGGGCCAAAAUGCAAUAAAUCAAACUUGAGGCUGGUAAAAUGGGACGCCAUGGGGGCGCGAUACCCUAAGCCAUAUCUGUCGCAACCCAUGAAACCCUUUAUCCCCAGAUUAUUGUUUCUUGGUCAUGGAUUGGCCAC